rnacentral:rRNA from 1 species
AACGAACGCUGGCGGCAGGCCUAACACAUGCAAGUCGAACGGUAGCACAGAGAGCUUGCUCUCGGGUGACGAGUGGCGGACGGGUGAGUAACGUCUGGGAAACUGCCCGAUGGAGGGGGAUAACUACUGGAAACGGUAGCUAAUACCGCAUAACGUCGCAAGACCAAAGUGGGGGACCUUCGGGCCUCACACCAUCGGAUGUGCCCAGAUGGGAUUAGCUAGUAGGUGGGGUAAUGGCUCACCUAGGCGACGAUCCCUAGCUGGUCUGAGAGGAUGACCAGCCACACUGGAACUGAGACACGGUCCAGACUCCGACGGGAGGCAGCAGUGGGGAAUAUUGCACAAGGGGCGCAAGCCUGAUGCAGCCAUGCCGCGUGUAUGAAGAAAGCCUUCGGGUUGUAAAGUACUUUCAGCGGGGAGGAAGGCGGUGGAGUUAAUAACUUCACCGAUUGACGUUACCCGCAGAAGAAGCACCGGCUAACUCCGUGCCAGCAGCCGCCGUAACAC